AGCGAGCAGUCUGCAAUACUGGUCGAAACGAAGAUUAAGGUACUCGUAGCUUGAGGUUAAUCUCAGCUUCAUGUAAACCGGCAGGUACAGACAGGAGGAUUCCCCAGAAGCUCAAUAGCUGUGAUGAAGCUGGCUGCCAGUGACAUUGCCAUAGGGAAUGUUCCCAUGCUCGAGCCACCGAGCAGGAAGUCUUGGCUGGUUUCCUGCUUCUUUGAGAAGAAGCCAUAGAAAGUGCCAAUCAGGCACGAAAUUAUCAACAUAGCAGCCAACACCAUAUAGUCGGCCCAUGAGAAGUAAUGGAGGAGAACAGGAUGGUCCUCCAUACAUUUUUCUUUUACAUCCUCGGACGGUCGCUGUUCCGCUGAAGAAAUCGCCAGGAAGAAGAAUAAUACCAAAACACGUGACCUCAUGUUUCGUGAGCUUGAACAGAGACAGAGAAUUCCCCUGUGGAUAUGAGUCGUGAAAAAUUUAGAAUUAGAAAUCUUGCAUUUAAUUGGAUCUUUCGAAUGAAACUGGAGGUCAGGAUAUUUUUGUAUAAAUCUCAUCUCUUAAUUUUGAAUAUCUGAUGUUUGGGAUAUUAAUUUAUUAUUUAGUCAUUGUAUCUUAUAUCUUCAUUUG